UACAGAGGUCUCAACCGUUGUUCGGAAUCACUGGGCGUAAAGCGCACGUAGGCGGUCCCGUAAGUCGGGUGUGAAAGCCCUCAGCCUAACUGAGGAACUGCGCCCGAUACUGCGGGGCUUGAGGAUGGGAGGGGAGAGUGGAAUUCCUGGUGGAGCGGUGAAAUGCGUAGAUAUCAGGAGGAAUACCAGUGGCGAAGGCGGCAUCCUGGACCACGACUGACGCUGAGUGAGCGAAAGCCAGGGGAGCAAACGGG
rnacentral:rRNA from 1 species